rnacentral:rRNA from 1 species
CACGUAGGGGGCGAGCGUUGUCCGGAUUUAUUGGGCGUAAAGAGCUCGUAGGCGGCUCAGUAAGUCAGGUGUGAAAACUCCAGGCUCAACCUGGAGACGCCACCUGAUACUGCUGUGGCUAGAGUCCGGUAGGGGAGCAUGGAAUUCCUGGUGUAGCGGUGAAAUGCGUAGAUAUCUGGAGGAACACUGGUGGCGAAGGCGGCUUCCUGGACCGACACUGACGCUGAGGCGGCGAAAAGCUAGGGGAGCAAACGGG